CCUGUGAAACCUAAAAGUUCGAAAAGAGAGAUUCAACGUCAGUUUGUACAGUAUUGACGUGAGUAGUGAUGCUGGCACAUUUUCAUGUUAUUUUAUUGCUGAACUAACACCGGCGUGCACUUCUCUCUUAGUAGGACAUCCCGACCCAUUGAGUCUUAGCCUACGGCCCAAACUUUAAUAAUUUUUAUUAAAGUCCUUUGGUAUUAAAGUCCUUUGGUGUUCUCCUGGCCUAAGUGCUCGAUGGGGUGUUGAGCCGCAAAUUUUUUUUGCGUCCUUGCGUCCGGCCUUCCGCAAGUUUAUUGACGGGCCGUAUCACUUUAGACUUUGUGCUAAGUGUAUGGGUUGUGCUUUAGGACUGGCUCGUUCGCCUGUCAGGGAUGCUUAGGCUUUGGGUACUCACAGGACCCGUCUUGAAACACGGACCAAGGAGUCUAACAUGUACGCGAGUCAUUGGGUAUAUAUUUUCCAAACCUAAAGGCGAAAUGAAAGUAAAGGUUAAA
rnacentral:rRNA from 2 species